UCGCCUGAUUCGGCACGUUAUUAUAUUGGUCGCUAUGUUUGGUUUCAGACGUCGGAUUGUCGGACACCGUGCCGACGUAACCGCUCACGGGGAAUCUCCGUUCCGGCGCACGUGGCUUAUUGGCGGCCGCGGUUUGCAACCGCAGCCAUCUGAGCGUGAAGCUCUCCUCUCCUCUCCCGCAUGCGGUCUGACGCAGCCUGAUCGACACUGACAGGUGGGCCAUGUGACGCUGCUGAUUGGGAACCACUGCUGCUUUGCUUGGGUCUGCUUUGCUUGGGUCUGCUUUGCUUUGCUCCUGUCUUGCUGUGCUUUGCUGCUGCUUUGCACUGAUUUGUGUACACCGCCAUUUGCCGUGUCUUGCCUCUGGGCUGUGGCUUUCCUGCCUUGCUUCUGCCGGUGUCAACUAUGCUGGCGUUGAUAGGAGGCUCCUGCAGCUAAAACAAACGAACUGUAUAUGCUGACGUUCGCAGCCCAUUUUCCCUGGGCCCAUAUUUUAUGUGUGUGAGCUGCGGGGUUAACUCCCUUAUUUUCUCAUUUUUGUUCAUUGGCUUCCCAUUUGCUCCUUUUGUCACCACUGGAGGUGCACUCAAUUGAUUAGUUUCAAUUAUUUUUGUUUUGGUUAUCUGAUGUCAUGUUAACUUUAUUUUGAUCAAGUGCCGUUUAUAUUCUGUUUGAAUAAUUCUGAUUAUUUUGUGUACAUUGUUCUUGUUAAAUUGUUUUGAAAUAUUUAUGGCAGCUAAAUUAUUUUGUUAAUUUGGUUAAGUUGUGAACUUGGUCACUGCCCCUUUGUUAAAAGCUUUGUAUUUAUUUUUGUUUAUUGGUGAUUUGAUUAUUUGAGUUCACCCCCAUAAUCGUUUCCCCUCUCCUUUCAGGUGCUGGAAGCUUACGGUGGUGGUCUUGGUGCCCUGGUGGUGGUGUCCCCUUUUGUGUGCUGUGCAACCCCCGGUUUUCAUUUGGUUUCCCCGUUGUGUGUUUGCGUGCGUGAGUGACACGAGUGACUGGGGUGCUACUUUUCCUGGGAUCCCUCUUGCCUCCUCAUUGCCCCAUUCCCCUCCACUGGUAAGCUCCAGCCCUGUUAGUGUCCUCCCUUCCCUUCACAUCUCUGUAAGCAUGGUAUUUUUAUUAGGUAUUUUUAAUAACUUUUGUAAUAAAGCAUAUUGUAUUUUAA